GAUGAACGUUGGCGGUGUGCCUAAUACAUGCAAGUCGAACGGAGUUAAUAGCAAUAUUGACUUAGUGGCGAACGGGUGAGUAACGCGUUGGUGAUCUGCCUUGAAGUGUGGAAUAACGCUCCGAAAGGAGCGCUAAUACCGCAUGUGCUCUCAAUUUUUAGAAACUUGAGAGGAAAGGAUUUAUUCGCUUCGAGAGGAGCCUGCGUCCCAUCAGCUGGUUGGUAGGGUAAAGGCCUACCAAGGCAAUGACGGGUAGGGGACCUGAGAGGGUCGGCCCCCCACAAUGGAACUGAAACACGGUCCAUACACCUACGGGUGGCAGCAGUAGGGAAUAUUAGAAAUGGACGAAAGUCUGAUCUAGCAACACCGCGUGUGCGAAGAAGGCCUUCGGGUCGUAAAGCACUUUUUGGAAGGAAUAGGAAGGAAUGUACUUCCAGAAUAAGUCUCGGCUAACUACGUG
rnacentral:rRNA from 1 species